UGGCGCACGGGUGCGUAACGCGUGAGCAACCUACCUCUAUCAGGGGGAUAGCCUCUCGAAAGAGAGAUUAACACCGCAUAAUAUAUCUGAUUGGCAUCAGUUGGAUAUUAAAUAUUUAUAGGAUAGAGAUGGGCUCGCGUGACAUUAGCUAGUUGGUAGGGUAACGGCUUACCAAGGCGACGAUGUCUAGGGGCUCUGAGAGGAGAAUCCCCCACACUGGUACUGAGACACGGACCAGACUCCUACGGGAGGCAGCAGUAAGGAAUAUUGGUCAAUGGGCGGAAGCCUGAACCAGCCAUGCCGCGUGCAGGAUGACUGCCCUAUGGGUUGUAAACUGCUUUUGUCCAGGAAUAAACCUAGAUACGUGUAUCUAGCUGAAUGUACUGGAAGAAUAAGGAUCGGCUAACUCCGUGCCAGCAGCCGCGGUAAUACGGAGGAUCCGAGCGUUAUCCGGAUUUAUUGGGUUUAAAGGGUGCGUAGGCGGCCUAUUAAGUCAGGGGUGAAAUACGGUGGCUCAACCAUCGCAGUGCCUUUGAUACUGAUGGGCUUGAAUCCAUUUGAAGUGGGCGGAAUAAGACAAGUAGCGGUGAAAUGCAUAGAUAUGUCUUAGAACUCCGAUUGCGAAGGCAGCUCACUAAGCUGGUAUUGACGCUGAUGCACGAAAGCGUGGGGAUCGAACAGGAUUAGAUACCCUGGUAGUCCACGCCCUAAACGAUGAUAACUCGAUGUUGGCGAUAGACAGCCAGCGUCUUAGCGAAAGCGUUAAGUUAUCCACCUGGGGAGUACGCCCGCAAGGGUGAAACUCAAGGAAUUGACGGGGGCCCGCACAAGCGGAGGAGCAUGUGGUUUAAUUCG
rnacentral:rRNA from 1 species